AUAUACUCCUGUCCUUUCUUCCUCCCAUCACUUUUGAACUGUUUGUUCCUUUGUGAAUUUUGUUGUUUAUAUGUGUUUGAAUCAAAGAUGGAAUAAUUUGCAAUUCAGAUCGUGUUUAGUGGCAGAACUUCCCAGUGACGAUGGCAGUGACGUCAUUUUUACCGCGUUUUUGCUCACUGUCCCAUCCGAAAGUUCCCCCCACCCUUUCCAUCCAAUGUGCGUGUGCGCGCCGCGACGCACCGAGAGUGCGCGCGCUGCGCAGUCUGGGAGAACAGCUGAGGAGAAGAGUCCUGCAGCGGACAGAGCCGCGGAGCGUCCCCGGCCGGAAGGCACCGAACAGCGGCGAAGCGCUCCCGGACGCAGCGGAGGAGCCGACGGCGCCGCGGCAGUGGUAAAGAGUGAAACAGAGCUGCUCCAACAAGCUCACAGAGCAAGUCUCCUGAGGAGCGACGACCUGUGAGGCUGCAGACGGCAUCUGGCACUCCGUGGCUGACGAGCUCAGGCCUCCAUACGGGUGUCGGGACAACCAUAACAGAGCUGAAGAUCCAGGGCAACCAAAAGGAGAGGGAGACAUGUUGGGGCGGGGCGUGUAUGUGGCCCUGACGCUCGUGUUGUUCCUGCUGCUGUGGCAGGAAGCAGGACUCAUCGAAGUUCCUCUUGACCGUAAGCACCCCCAUUACCCCCUGAAAGUCCUGCAUUAAGCCUUUGGUUCUGAAACUAUUCUGCCUGAUUAAGGAUGAUGGCGUGUUUAAUAAUUGAGCUCUGUUCUGGACACUGAACAGUAAGAACUUCAUGGAAGAAGCAGAAAAAGCAAAAAAAAAUCCCAGUCAAA
rnacentral:lncRNA from 1 species